ACGCUCGACACCUACGGGAGGCAGCAGUGGGGAAUAUUGCACAAUGGGGGAAACCCUGAUGCAGCGACGCCGCGUGAGCGAAGAAGUAUCUCGGUAUGUAAAGCUCUAUCAGCAGGGAAGAAGAUGACGGUACCUGACUAAGAAGCACCGGCUAAAUACGUGCCAGUAGCCGCGGUAAUCUGAGGCGGGCUGGCAAGGC
rnacentral:rRNA from 1 species